rnacentral:rRNA from 1 species
UACGUAGGGUGCGAGCGUUGUCCGGAAUUAUUGGGCGUAAAGAGCUCGUAGGCGGUCUGUCGCGUCUGCUGUGAAAACUCGGGGCUUAACCCCGGGCCUGCAGUGGGUACGGGCAGACUAGAGUGCGGUAGGGGAGACUGGAAUUCCUGGUGUAGCGGUGAAAUGCGCAGAUAUCAGGAGGAACACCGGUGGCGAAGGCGGUUCUCUGGGCAUUACCUGACGCUGAGGAGCGAAAGUGUGGGGAGCGAACAGG